rnacentral:rRNA from 1 species
UCGAGCGGUAAGGCCCUUCGGGGUACACGAGCGGCGAACGGGUGAGUAACACGUGGGUGAUCUGCCUCGCACUCUGGGAUAAGCCUGGGAAACUGGGUCUAAUACCGGAUAUGACCUUACAUGCAUGGUGUUUGGUGGAAAGAUUUAUCGGUGCGAGAUGGGCCCGCGGCCUAUCAGCUUGUUGGUGGGGUAAUGGCCUACCAAGGCGACGACGGGUAGCCGGCCUGAGAGGGCGACCGGCCACACUGGGACUGAGACACGGCCCAGACUCCUACGGGAGGCAGCAGUGGGGAAUAUUGCACAAUGGGCGAAAGCCUGAUGCAGCGACGCCGCGUGAGGGAUGACGGCCUUCGGGUUGUAAACCUCUUUCGACAGGGACGAAGCGCAAGUGACGGUACCUGUAGAAGAAGCACCGGCCAACUACGUGCCAGCAGCCGCGGUAAUACGUAGGGUGCGAGCGUUGUCCGGAAUUACUGGGCGUAAAGAGCUUGUAGGCGGCUUGUCGCGUCGAUCGUGAAAACUUGGGGCUCAACCCCAAGCUUGCGGUCGAUACGGGCAGGCUUGAGUACUUCAGGGGAGACUGGAAUUCCUGGUGUAGCGGUGAAAUGCGCAGAUAUCAGGAGGAACACCGGUGGCGAAGGCGGGUCUCUGGGAAGUAACUGACGCUGAGAAGCGAAAGCGUGGGUAGCGAACAGGAUUAGAUACCCUGGUAGUCCACGCCGUAAACGGUGGGUACUAGGUGUGGGUUUCCUUCCACGGGAUCCGUGCCGUAGCUAACGCAUUAAGUACCCCGCCUGGGGAGUACGGCCGCAAGGCUAAAACUCAAAGGAAUUGACGGGGGCCCGCACAAGCGGCGGAGCAUGUGGAUUAAUUCGAUGCAACGCGAAGAACCUUACCUGGGUUUGACAUACACCGGAAACCUGCAGAGAUGUAGGCCCCCUUGUGGUCGGUGUACAGGUGGUGCAUGGCUGUCGUCAGCUCGUGUCGUGAGAUGUUGGGUUAAGUCCCGCAACGAGCGCAACCCUUAUCUUAUGUUGCCAGCGCGUAAUGGCGGGGACUCGUGAGAGACUGCCGGGGUCAACUCGGAGGAAGGUGGGGACGACGUCAAGUCAUCAUGCCCCUUAUGUCCAGGGCUUCACACAUGCUACAAUGGCCGGUACAGAGGGCUGCGAUACCGUGAGGUGGAGCGAAUCCCUUAAAGCCGGUCUCAGUUCGGAUCGGGGUCUGCAACUCGACCCCGUGAAGUUGGAGUCGCUAGUAAUCGCAGAUCAGCAACGCUGCGGUGAAUACGUUCCCGGGCCUUGUACACACCGCCCGUCACGUCAUGAAAGUCGGUAACACCCGAAGCCGGUGGCCUAACCCCUCG